CUACGUGCCAGCAGCCGCGGUAAUACGUAGGGUGCGAGCGUUAAUCGGAAUUACUGGGCGUAAAGCGAGCGCAGACGGUUACUUAAGCAGGAUGUGAAAUCCCCGGGCUCAACCUGGGAACUGCGUUCUGAACUGGGUAGCUAGAGUAUGUCAGAGGGGGGUAGAAUUCCACGUGUAGCAGUGAAAUGCGUAGAGAUGUGGAGGAAUACCGAUGGCGAAGGCAGCCCCCUGGGAUAAUACUGACGUUCAUGCUCGAAAGCGUGGGUAGCAAACAGGAUUAGAUACCCUGGUAGUCCACGCCCUAAACGAUGUCGAUUAGCUGUUGGGCAGCAUGACUGCUUAGUAGCGAAGCUAACGCGUGAAAUCGACCGCCUGGGGAGUACGGUCGCAAGAUUAAAACUCAAAGGAAUUGACGGGGACCCGCACAAGCGGUGGAUGAUGUGGAUUAAUUCGAUGCAACGCGAAGAACCUUACCUGGUCUUGACAU
rnacentral:rRNA from 1 species